CUGAUCCUUUUUGUUAUUUCCUAUUUUGCUAUCCCACAGAAUUUACAAAGCGGCAUCGAGCUCCUUUUAAAAAAUUGGCAACACGCUUUCCAGUUCGUCUGCAGUAGAAAAUCAGUUGAUCGUUCAAUCACGUGCAAUCAAAAUCGCGUUUUUCCGUUGAUUCCGUGUGAAUUGUGUGAUUAUAACGUGGUCAUUUGGCAAAUUUGUCCGUACACAUAAAGAUUUUCCUUGUGAUACACGUGGUUGAAACAAAGCAUUCAAGUCAAGGAGUUAAUCCCAGAAUUCCCAGAUCAUAUCGUACGUUGGCAAUUUGGUACAAGUGGUACUUGUAAGAAGCAAGAAGCCAAGUAGCAAGGCCAAUGUUACAUCUUAAUACAGCAACAAAAACGUUAAGCCUUUCAACUUUUCAAGUGUUAUGUGACUGUUGGAAGUUACGUUUGCUUAUGAAAGGUGCAUUGAUGAAGAAAAGGUACCUGGUGAAGUGAAUUCUAAUGUUCAGUAACUGUUAUAGCUACUCACAUCAAUUGACUGACACUGUUUGACCUGAAGUAGCAAGAAUUUCAUUUUCCAUUAUUAGCGGAUUCCAUGUGGAGUUCAGAGCUCUCACAAAAGAUCAAUCAUGCCUAAUCUCCUGCAACACAAGUAACAAGAUGAAAAACUUCUACAACUCUUUGUUGUGUGUAUUUUAGUAAAAUAACAAUUUCUGGAUUUUUCCUACAGAAUUCAUAAAUUCUUUUCGAAUCUUGAGGACCGUAAUGACUGCAACCAGUUUUUUGAAAAAACCAGCCCCAUAAAUUCAAACAGUUAUUUGCAGUUUUGGCCAAGACGCUCACUCGCCUUUUUCGAUGUCAGGCAAUGCGGAUUAAGAACUGGAUCCUGGCGAAUCGUCACUCAUACUUCACUUAUAUGAAAGCCUGGAAUCUUGGUGCGUACAAUGUGAUGCUUCAACUGGCGUCAGUCGAACAAAUCAACAGACGGACCUUAGUAGUUAAAAAUAAUUGCCCAUGAAAUAUCCGAUAAAGUACAUGACAUGGAGAGAAAAAAACGGACCAACUUCGAUCGACCAGAUUGCAAAUUGAACAGCCUAGCCCGACGUCCCAAGAAAAACUCUUUGGCUUGCAUCUGCCCAUUCGUUGGCCUCCAUUCGUUAAGUGAGUUCUCUUUGCCAGUUUAAACGAACGAACUCACUAUGCAUGGCUCCGUUGGGAAGAAAUGGUGACACAUCCGGACACGGAGAUCACCAUCACUGAAAUCUGGACACAUCGGGCGGUUAGUAGACGCACAAGUGAAGUAAAUCGCUAAAUCCAUCGGCGUGUAGUUAUCCCAUUCGACGUACCAAAAACAACCAGUUAAGUCCCAUCUCAAUGUGGAUUGUGUAAACGCAAUAUGAUGGAAACUAUGAAGUUGUGGCAACCAAUCGUCAAAGAGGAAUGAAGAUCUUUUUGGACUUUGGAAAAAGCCAAAAAAGUGCACCAAGUACGUCAAUCUCUACACCUCACCUCUCUCGACUCAAGGGUACACCAUAGACUUGGAUAUUGAGAGGGAAACCGAAAAGCUAUGACCAUGAAGGAAUCCGAAGAUCCCAAGGAUUGCUGGCCCGAAGAGAUGACGACGGAAUUGGAAUCAGCUGAGCAAGAGGUCAACGAUUUUACGACCGAUUGUGAUGGAUAAACCGCGACUACUACGAUUACUAAAGUCCAUCUAAAUCUCUGUCUGAAUCUUCAAUGGUGAAAUAGGAUUUCCUUGUUCUCGUUACCAAGGGCAUGUAAGGUUUCUGUAAAUGGAAUUAGUUCAAUUUGUCAGCAUUUACAACUGUCAAUUGUGAAGACUUGUCUUCAUCAGUUUUAGUUCAUUCUCCUGUGUUUAAGGCAUCAUGCCGAAGGAUCUUUUUCCUUUCUCCACGUGAUCGCUGCCGUAUCACGAAGAUGCUUCUUUGAGAGGGUCUCUACUAUAUUGCAAGACAAAAAUGUGAUGAGAUUAGGAAAUCUGAGAUGAGUUCAACCUGCAGACCAGUUUGCAUGUCCUUCACGCUUGAAGCUCUGCUUGAAGGUUGCGGGGAAUAUUACGUGUAAAAUUGUCAAUGCUGUGGUGUAGAGGUUGGGUGAGAACUGAACGUGUUGCAUCAUUAUCAAGCAGACCCAUCCCCAGCAACGUCAACCUAAAGAAGGAAAGCCC
rnacentral:lncRNA from 1 species